GAAUUGAUUUUAAAGUCCUUUAUUAUACUAUGUUAACUAAUUAUAAUUUUUGUGUUUCAGUCUUAUCAUGUGUCUAAAUCGAAUGAUGUGCGGCUGUUUUGCAAUGGUUAUUAUGCAGAGAUUCUUGUAAUGGAUAUUCUCACGUUAGAUAUUCUAUUCACUUUAUCCUCACGUGUUAACCCUGAUUGGAUGAGUGCAAUACGCGUCCUGUGAAAAGUCAUGAUGACAUCGUUGUUGGUUUGUCUGCUUCAGGUUAUAUCAAAGUAUGGACAAUUGCUGGAAAUGAAGCUAAAAAUGAACCUGUUUAUGAAGAUGAGUCAAAACCAAUUCGAUUCCUGAAUGCCCUGAAAUUGACCUGUUGUGCUUUUAAUCAAAGGACACUUCUUAUUGAGUAUAGUAAAGUGCGGCGAGCUCACUUCUUAUUGUUUGUCCCAAAUAUUUGCAGGUUUAUGAUGCUGGGGAUUUUUCACUGUUGUGCUCUGCUGAUAAUCCUCGAGAUGAACGUUGGAUGGGUGGUGAUUUCUUAACUACUGACAGAGCUUUAAUUUUUAGUGAUAGUGGAAAAGGAUAUAUGUAUAGAUUACCUUCUAAAUAUAAAGAAGCACCUAGGUUUCAUAGAAAAGUCUGUAAACUCAAAAGAGCCAAGAUUCAUUCUUAGAGUUGUAAGAGCUCUUGUGUCUAUCAGGAAGCGCUUAACACCAAAGCGUAAAGUAGUUUUUAUGUUCAUUCUUCUCAACAAAAAGAUGUACUGCUUGGUUUCAUGA
rnacentral:lncRNA from 1 species